rnacentral:lncRNA from 1 species
UUUUUUUUUCCUAGUACUGUUUUGUCCUUCAUUUAUUGGAUUGAACAAGUAGACGGUAGCCAAAGUCGGGCAGUCUAUGUUGCUUUAUUUGUUAUCGGUCCUGUUGGACCAGGGGUGAGAAGUGAGAAUCGUUUCGUUUCGUAUACUUUUGUUUCGUGUUUUUUUUUAAAAAAAUUUUAUAUAUUUAAAGAUGUAAUCCGUUUUCGUGUAUUUAAUUUAAAUUCCGCAUCUGUUCCGAAAUAUUUUGUGUAUUCCUUGGUUACAUUUCAUGUGCACUAUAUAUAAAAUAUUAAUAUGAUUUUAAUCAAAAAUAGUUUUAAUUUGUAUGUUUCUUUUAUAGUUUUACUAAAUAUAAAUAAUAUAUUUAUACUUACAUACGAUUCCAUAAAAAUUUGUUAAUGUAUCUAUAAUAUAUUAUAUAUAUAAAUAUGUAUUUUUUACAAAUUAUAUAUGUAAUAUAUUAUAUAAUACAAACUAUGUACAUAUAUAUUUUGUGUACUUUCAUAUUGUAUUUCAUGUGCCAACAGAAAACACAUAUCUGAUACGAAAUCCAUCGUAUAAUUUGGUGUUUAUGUAUGUUCAUAUUUCGUGUAUCGAAAUUUGAAAUUCAUAUCAAUUUUUUUUCGUGUUACCGUGCUAGCUGUCAAAUUGUCAGGCCUAGUUACAAGUAUGAUUAAGAAAAAUAUUACACUCUCUUGCCAUUUCCGAUCCGUUUGCAUUUACUUGAACCCGAUUCUUUUUUAUUUGAAUUCGGUUUCGAAUCAUUUUUUCAAACCCGAAAGAGUUUCGAUCUACAUUUGGAUCUUACGCAUCACCGAACCGAAAUCCAAAAUUCAAAAUAUCCAAUAACAUAUACACAUGUAUAAUGCAUCAUAAUUCAUAUCAUGAAUUAUUAAACAAGUUAAUAUCUUAUAUAGUUUUAUAACAAUAAUAUAUAUAUAUAUUAUUUAUAUAAUUAAAUGUAAUGUUUAUAUGCGGUAAGUUGGAUAAAUUGUUGAUAAUUAAUUUAAUAUAUUUUUAUGCUAAUAUUGAAUUGUAUAAAUACGUAGAGUACUAAUAUUUUUUAAUUAAACACAUAUAUAUGUCGAAGUGUUCACAUUCUUGACCUACAUUUAAGAAAGUCAAAACUUCACUGCACCAUCUGUUUGUUCGCUACUAUUUUUGUAUAAUUAACAUUCAGAAAAAGUGUUACCUAUCAUAUAUUACAAUAAUAUAGAUUUAUUUAUUUUUAAUUAAUUAUUAUUGUAAGAUCUAAAUCAAAAUCUGAUAAGAUCUGACACAUCGGAUUUGAACAUUUAUUUUUGAUAUCUAAACCCAAACCCAAACCAGAAUAUGACAAAUUGAAUAUUAAAUAUUAUAAAAUUUCAACUGAUCCGACCAUGAUCAUGAUUAGAAAACUUCUGCCUGAAAAAUAAGCACACCUUUUUGGCUUUUUCAAUCUCAGUAAAUGGGGGCCCAUAACUCUCCUCCCAAUAUUGUGAUUUUUGAAGAGCCGACAACUCGACGAUCGACUCGAUCAACAUUUGCAUAUAUAGUCUGCUUAAUCAUCAACAUAAUUUUAUGACUUUUGGUCUAAAUCAUCAAUAUACUUAUAUAAAGAAGAAGCGAGAGGCGUGUAGGUGGUGCCUCUCACAUCGCUCCAUUCUAUUUUUCUAAUUUUCUGAAAUUUUUAGAUGAAAAAUAUUAAAAAUUAGAAUUACCUUUUUUAGUUUCCGAUAUAUUAGAAGCAAGUUUCAGAAUCUGAUUUUGUUUCAGAUUAUUUAUGGAAUAUAGCAGCUUGAAAGUUUUAAUCUGAUUUUGUUUCAGAUUAUUGGGCGUGUAGGUGGCGCAUCUCACAUCGCUCCAUUCUAUUUUUCUAAUUUUCUGGAAUUUUUGGAUUUGGAUGAAAAAUAUCAAAAACUAGUUGAGAAGCCGCGCGUUGCGACGGCUUAUAAAAAUUAUAUUAAUAAUUCAAUAUUAAUAUUUGUAGAAUAAAAUAAUUCUGUGGUUGUCUAUAAAAACUAUAUUAACGUUUCAAAAUUAAUAUUUGUAGGAUAAAAUAAAUUUUAUAUUAUAGAAAUCUUGAUGUAAUAUCAAUACUAAUAUAUAAAAUUGCAAAAUUGGACUAUAAUUCAUGGUGAAAAAAUGAAAAUAAAUUUAUACAGGUAAUUAACAAUUUGAAGUACGACGAAUCUUAAUUUUAUUUGUGUUUUUUUAAAAAGUAAUCAUGUUCUUACAUUGUCACCUUCAGCCAAUUUUUUUGGAUUGUUGUGCACAAAAACAUCAACUUAAAUCCAUGAGGUUGUAGUAUACAGCUUGAAAGUUUUAAUCUGAUUUUGUUUCAGAUUAUUGGGCGUGUAGGUGGCGCAUCUCACAUCGCUCCAUUCUAUUUUUCUAAUUUUCUGGAAUUUUUGGAUGAAAAAUACCAAAAAUUAGAACUACCUUUUUUAGUUUCGGAUAUAUUAGAAGCAAGUUUCAGAAUCUGAUUUUGUUUCAGAUUAUUUAUGGAAUAUAGUAGUUUGAAAGUUUUAAUCAAAUCAUAUAAAAAUUAACAACAACAAACAUGUCCGAUGAACAAAACAUAUAUUAUAAAAGAAUAACCAACAAACAUACAUCACUAAUAGUUAAUUUAUUGAUAUCAUCUAUCAAUAUCAUGUCAAGAAUAUAUUCUUUUCCCCUGUUUCAAUUUGUCGACUCCCACAUAGCGAUUCAUAACUACCUUUGCUUGCAACAACCUUUAUUUUUUUAAUACUACAGCCUUCACUUAUCGUUGCAGAAGAAGGGCACGACCGAGUUAAAAAUCAAGCAAUGGAAGAAAGGUAGAGUUGUGGUAUUGAGAGAGAGGAGGUUGUGUUUAGAUGAUUCAAAACCCUACAAUCUAUAAGGGUAUUUAUAGGUGCAGAAAGACUUGUGUGCUAAUCUUUCCCAUAAUUAAAUAAUUUGAAACAAAAUCAUAUUAAAACUUUCAAGCUACUAUAUUCCGUAAAUAAUCUGAAACAAAAUCAGAUUCUGAAACUUGCUUCUAAUAUACUCGAAACUAAAAAAAGUAGUUCUAAUUUUUGAUAUUUUUCAUCCAAAAAUUCCAGAAAUUAGAAAAAUAGAACGGAGCGAUAUGAGAGGCGUCACCUAUACGCCCCUCGCUUCUCCACCAUAUUUUCCAGUAUACAAAGUAAAUCAUAUAAAAAUUAACAACAAAAAACAUGUCCAAUGAACAAAACAAAUAUUAUAAAAAAAAAAACCAACAAACAUACAUCACCAAUAGUUAAUUUAUUGAUAUCAUCCAUCAAUAUCAUGUCAAGACUAUAUUCUUUUCUCCUGUUUCAAUUUGUCGACUCCCACAUAGCGAUCUAUAACUAUCUUUGCUUGCAACAACCUUUAUUUUUUUAAUACUAUAUAAACAACUUUCACUUAUCGUUGCAGAAGAACGGCACCAUCGAGUUAGAAAUCAAGCAGAACUAUCACCAAAGAGAGGUAGAGUUGUGGUAUUGAGAGAUAGGAGGUUGUGGUUAGAUGAUCUAAAACUCUACAAUAUAUAGGGGUAUUUAUAGGUGCAGAGAGACUUGUGUGCUACUCUUUCCCAUAAUUAAAUAAUCUGAAACAAAAUCAGAUUAAAUUUUUCAAACUACUAUAUUCCAUAAAUAAACUGAAACAAAAUCAGAUUCUGAAACUUGCUUCUAAUAUAUCCGAAACUAAAAAAGGUAGUUCUAAUUAUUGAUAUAUUCCAUAAAUAAACUGAAACAAAAUCAGAUUCUGAAACUUGCUUCUAAUAUACCCGAAACUAAAUAAGGUAGUUCUAACUUUUGAUAUUUUUCAUCCAAAAAUUCCAGAAAAUUAGAAAAAUAGAACAGAGCGAUGUGAGAGGCGCCACCUACACGCCCCUCGCUUCUCCUUUAUAUAAGUAUAUUGAUGAUUAGAACUACCUUUUUUAAUUUCUGAUAUAUUAGAAGCAAGUUUCAUAAUCUAAUUUUGUUUCAGAUUAUUUAUGGAAUAUAGCAGCUUGAAAGUUUUAAUCUGAUUUUGUUUCAGAUUAUUGGGCAUGUAGGUGGCGCAUCUCACAUCGCUCCAUUCUAUUUUUCUAAUUUUCUGGAAUUUUUGGAUGAAAAAUAUCAAAAAUUAGAACUACCUUUUUUAGUUUCAUAUAUAUUAGAAGCAAGUUUCAGAAUCUGAUUUUUCAGAUUAUUUAUGGAAUAUAGCAGCCUGAAAGUUUUAAUCUGAUUUUAUUUCAGAUUAUUUAAUUAUGGAAAAAAGUAGCGCACAAGUCUAUCUCCACCUAUAAAUACCCUAUAGGUUAUAGGGUUUUAGAUCAUCUAAACACAACCUACUCCCUCUCAAUACUACAACCCUACCUCUAUCCGAUGAUAGUUCUCUUGCUCGAUUUCUAACUCAGUGGUGUCGUUCUUCUGCGACGAUAAGUGAAGGCUGUUUAUACGAUAUUAAAAAACAAAUUGUUGCAAGCUAGAUUAUUUAAUUAUGGAAAAUUGUAGCGCACAAGUCUCUCUGCACCUAUAAAUACCUCUAUAGGCUGUAGGGUUUUGGAUCAUCUAAACACAACCUACUUUCUCAAUACCACAAUCCUUCCUCUCUUCGGUGAUAGUUCUCUUGCUCGAUUUCUAAUUCGGUGGUGCCGUUCUUCUGCCACGAUAAGUGAAGACUGUUUAUACGGUAUUAAAAAAAUAAAUAAAGGUUGCUGCAAGUAAAGGUAGUUAUAGACCACUAUGUGGGAGGGAGUCGACAAAUCCAAACACGGGAGAAGAAUAUAGUCUUGACAUGAUAUUGAUGAAUGAUAUCAAUAAAUUAAUUAUUAAUGAUGUAUGUUUGUUGGUAUUCUUUUAUAAUAUUUGUUUUCAUUGAACAUGUUUUUUGUUGUUAAUUUUUAUAUGAUUUACUUUGCACACAGGAAAAAAUUAUUCAUGCAUUAUCUGUUUGCUCCGUGUAAGCAACUUUUAAGUGAAGAUUUUUAAAAAAAUAAGGGUUGUUACAAGUAAGGGAAGUUAUAGACCGCUAUCUCACGAAUUUAAGUUAGAUGUUUUUGUGCACAAUCAAUCCAAAAAAAUUGGAGGAAUGUGACAAUGUAAGAACAUGAUUACUUAAAAAAAAAAACACAAAUAAAAUUAAGAUCCGGCGUGCUUUAAAUCGUUAAUUACUUGUAGAAAUUUAUUUUCAUUUUUUCAACAUGAAUUAUAAUCCAAUUUUACAAUUUUAUAUAUUAGUAUUGGUAUUACAUCAAGAUUUUUAUAAUAUAAAAUUUAUUUAUCCUACAAAUAUUAAUAUUGAAUCAUUAAUAUAAUUUUUAUAGGCCGCCGCAACGCACGGUUUCUCAACUAGUUUAUUAAAAGUCUAUAUACUAUACUUCGUAUCAUAAUACAUACAUCGUGUUCUUUGAUCUGAUCAUUUCUACAGGACUACAAAGUCUACAAGAAUACAAACUAAAACAAAAGUUGUAGGGGCCAGCUCCAUAUCAAUAUCUAACCCUGGUUACAUUUCAUCAAACAUUGCGGAGAAUUAAAAUAAAUAAAUGGAACCAGUCGUGACCCGACACGUGUGCAUCUAUUUUAAGGUUAAUGACGACGUUAUGAUCAGUGAUUCUCAACACAAAAACAAAACCUACAUUAAUACAGUACCCAACAAGGACAAAGCCAGACCACCUCACGCGCCAUCCUCUCACGUAAUCCUCGUAUCUUCUCCUGACCCUUGUCUACUAUGGCACGUAAGUUCCACGACAGCCUUAAAUUCAGUCUGGUAAGGAUCUGAAAUGGUUAAAAGAAGAUCAAGAGGGCGUUGAAAGUGGAAAUAACACCAACCCUAAGUUGUGGACUCCAGUGCAUUCUCUUAUCCUAGGGUUAUUAUUGAGAUUCCAUCUUUAAAAAAAUAAAAAUGCAACCAGAACAAGCAAGAUGAACUACAAGAUAAAGUAACCCAGAACACAAAAAGCAAUCAAUCUCUCUCUCUCUCUCUCUCUCUCUCUCUCUCCCCCUCCCUCUCUCUCUCGUGUUUACUUUUAUAUCUCUCUCUCGUGUUUACUUUUAUCUCUCUCUAGGGUUUGGAACCAGGUUCCUUUAUUAGUGUCUUACAUCCAUUUGGUCAUAUAUAGAUAGAAUAAUAAACAUAGAUUUGGAGAUAUAUAAUUGAUCAGGGAGUGGAAGGAUGGGAAGGGGAAGAGUGGAGUUGAAGAGGAUAGAGAACAAAAUAAACAGACAAGUAACAUUUGCAAAGAGAAGGAACGGACUGUUGAAGAAAGCAUAUGAGCUCUCUGUGCUUUGUGAUGCUGAGGUUGCUCUCAUCAUCUUCUCUAACCGUGGCAAGCUCUACGAGUUUUGCAGCACUUCCAAGUAUACUUUCCUUUUUACAUUUCUUCUCUUUCUCUUUUUCCUCAUCUCCAUUUAAUUAAUUCUCUUCUCACCUUAUUUAGGUUUAAUCUUUUUAUAUUUUACAUUGGUUUUUGCACCACUUAAUUCAUUUUGUGGGGAUGAAAUUAAGGUUUUUUGAUGUGUGAAUCUUGUGUUAUAAAGCAUGUACUUUUAGAUCUUACAAAUGAUUUCUUUAUUAUAUUUCAACUUGCAUCUUUAUAUUGGUUCUUGAACAAACCAUAAAUAUAUAUGUGCAAAUGAGGAUAAAGUUGUAGCUAAAAUUUCAGAUCUAUAUUGGGAUCAACUCUAUAUAAAUAGAUGUUCUUUGUAAAUGGAGUCAAGCCAUUUAUUUCUGCUUUCCCUGCUCCCCUUUGCACUUUCCCUAAUUUUAAUAUAUACAUAUAUAUAGCUGGUCACCUAUUAUAAAGUUUUUAAGUUUCUACCCAGAUCCAAUUGUACAAAAUGAUAUUUUGGUACAAUCAUUCAACUUUGGUUUGAGAAGUGCAAGUUUGUCUUCAAAAGCUUUGCUGCAACAAAUGUAAAUACUAGUUCUGGUUGAUAUAAAAGCUUUCAACUUGAUUUAGCAAAAAAAAAAAAAACACUUUAAUUUGUUGUCUAUUAUAUUGUUCAUGAUUUGUUACUAGCUAGUAUGAUUUAUUUGUUGUUAAUAAAUGUAUACAAUACCACAGUAUAUGGUUGAAUUUAUAGGAGGUUCAAUCAGGACCUAGCUAGUUGAUUUCACUGAUAAGCAUGCAACCAAUAUAUAACUGACAUAUAUCCAAUGCUGAUCCUCCACUAGUGCAUACCUACAAGGAUUCUCUUUGAGCAGAUGGUCAAAUUAAAUUAAUAUAUUGAACUUUUUAACCUAUUUUCAAUGGGUUUCAUGAUGAUAAAGGACUUCUUAUUUUUGACAUAAAAAGAAAUAGGAAGAAAUGAACUGCUUAUGCACACUGUCUCUCACAAACAUUUAAGUUUUUCUCAACGCACAUACUUCUGAGUGUUAAAUUGCAGCACUACUAGCUAUUAAAAUGUUCAUAUAUAGAGAAAGAUGUAACUGUAUUACUGUAGCAGAGCCAUUGAAUCUCUCUUAUUAUUUAUCAACAAAGUGGUUCAUGGAAAAGCAGUGUCAAAGUAUCCCAUGGAUAUUAACCACUCAAAACCAUUCAACUCCUUUACUUUGAUUCUAUGGCUAGUUUUGGUAUAGCUGUAAUAAUACAUCAUUCUGUUUACGCAUGGUUCCCAGGUGCAAGUUAACUAGCUUUCUGUAUGCCUAAAGAUCUUAGAACUGGAUGCUCAUUUAGAUCUUGUAAAUUGUUCUCCACUCCUGUCCUGAUAUCUUUAUGCAAGAUGAUUUAUCUCUUCUUUAAGUUUCAAAAUGGAAUAUGAGAUAUUUUAUACCAGAUAAUUUGUACAGUAUUUGUGACCAGAGGUUGAGGGUUCGAGUAUUAGUGCAUAUUGCAUCGGUGACUAGAGGUUGAGGAUUGAUCAAAAUUCUCUAUAUAUUGUUAUAUAUGUUUGUGUGUUCAUCAUGAGAACUAUUUGCUCCUUUUAGAGCAUCAAGAUUGCAAGUAAUGGAUUGAUAUAUGGUAUUUAUUAGUUCGUAUAUGUUAUAAUUUUAUUUACCGAAGUACAGAUCAUAUUCAUAUUCCUGUUCCUUACCAUCAACUACUAACUAAGCAAUUCUUCUUUGUUGACCAAAACCCAGCAUGCUUAAGACACUUGAAAGGUACCAAAACUGCAGCCAUGGGACACUGGAAGUUAACCGGACAGCCAAAGAUUUAGAGGUAGAUUAUUUUAAUGUGGUUUGUCACUGGAAUUUAUUAUUCAUCACAUAGAGUAUCUGGAUAUGCACUUGUUGAAAAUACAACAGGACAACAGGGUCAGCAAUUAGGCUUGCUUGCAGAUGUAUCUGUCAAUGCAACCAGUUAUGCACUUCGUUUUGUACUACUCUUAGAUUGUUAAACUCAAUUUGUUCCUAAUCUCUUGCAUGAAUUACUUCUUGUUAUGUUCUUAGCAAAACAGCUACAGGGAAUACCUAAAACUCAAAGGCAAAUACGACUCCCUACAACAAUAUCAGAGGUACUUAUUAUAUAAUUUGCCAUCACAUUUAGUUACAUAUGUGUGUGUGAGAUACGAAGUUAGUUUAUCUAGCUUUACUCUUCUUUGUAGUUGCUUGAAUUUUCAAUCUUGUAUAAUUAUUUUGUUUCCGUUGAUUAGUAUGUUGUCUCACUUUGAGUUUAAAAUGUUAAAUGUUGUAGGCACCUUCUUGGGGAAGACCUAGGGCCUCUAAAUAUAAAAGAUCUCGAGCAUCUGGAAUUACAACUAGACGAAUCCUUGAUGCAUAUUAGGUCUACCAAGGUAAAGAAACUCAAUAAUAGGGUGUGCCUCAACUUCUCUGUAGCAAACUUUUAUUGCAUUCGUUAGCACUAAUACAAUAUAUUGAACGGCAAAUAGUUAUCAUAUAUCAUAAUUGUUUCUCUUCCCAUGGAUAGCAUUGUACAUAUGCCGUAAAUGUUGUCCUUUUGAUCUCAAUGAUGAUGGUACUUUCUAAUUUGCAAGCAAAAAGCUAAGAUUUGUUUUGACUCUUCUGAACUGCUUUACAGACUCAGAAUAUGCUUGACCAGCUUUCUGAACUUCAAAAUAAGGUAUUUAAUACUUCUACUUGCUAUUUCAAUCUUCAAUCUUGUAAGCUUUUGAACUUAAAUUAAAUAAUGUUUUAACUGCAGGAAAGAAUUUUGCUUGAGACUAACACCGCUUUGGAGGAAAAGGUACCUGCAGGAGUACUUCAUUUCUAUGCAACUUAUGUGUGAAUAAUCAAUUUUCAAAGUUUUUCAUUAUACAUACACAUAUAAGAAAGUAAAUUGUGCAGGAGGAACCAGGUGGAUUAUAUAAUCAUAAUUUUCUAAAUUUUUUUUUUAUAUAAUAAAUUGAAUUUGAUCAAUAACUCUAGGACAAACAAAACUGAAAUAGUGAUUUAUAUAAAUGGCACGGAAUAGAGUGAAAAUGUAAAAAACUCUUUUACUCUUAUAGAGUUGUCUACAUAGUCUACCUUCCAAAUACUGUAUAAUAUAUUUUAAGAUAUAUUUUCUCCGUCCCUCUCAUUUUAUUUUUAAUUUUUUUUGCUGACAGGCAUUUUAAGGUGUAUAUGUUUCAUAAUUUCUUAUUAUUAUUUUUUAUAACUAUUUAGACAUUAAAUUGUUAUUGAAAAAAAUAAUAAUUUAUGAAAUUAUGUUUUAUAGUAUUUUAAAAUGCAUGUUAAGUUCUCGCUGGGGGAGUAUAGACAGCUACCUACAUUUGAAAAUUUUGGCAUAUUUUAGGAGUUGGUAGUACUGUAGAUAUAGGAAAUCAUGGCCUAUAAUUUUCCAGCAUGAUGGUUUGAGUUGGUAUUUAGAAGAGAGAAUCCCUAAAAAGACAAAAAUAUAGGUAAAGGAUAUUGUGAGCAGAAGAUACUCUUGCUUAGACAUGCAAUUUUUGAAUAGCAGUUAAUAAAUUGAUGAGGGGAAAGUGGUAUUCACGAUUAACUGUACACACUAUAUUGACAUGAUCAAAAUGUACUCCAAAAUUUUCGAGCACCUUGCAUUUAUCAGUUACAGUUGUCUGGACUUUAUAUCUUCUUUAACAAGCUGAUCCAGUAGAAUAUUACAUCCACAACUGCACACCAGAACGAUAAAUAUAUUCCUGUUUGCAACUGAUUUUCGGUUUUGCAGCUAAAACUUCAGAGUACUGAUCUCCUUAUCGGUCCAAAAUUUUGUUUUGCAGCUGCGUGAAUAUCACUCAGAGACUCAGUUACGACAAUUAUGGCCAGGCGGUGAAGUAAGUGCCUCGUACGGGCAGCAGCAGCACCACCAGCACCAACAACAGCAGGGGCAGUCUCAGGGAUUUUUUCAGCCACUGAACUGCAAUUCUACAUUGCAAAUCGGGUAAUACGUCCUUUCUUAACCUAUAAUCAAAAUCACCCCAGCCUUUUUUCGGUGCUACUCCCUCCGUCCAUUUGGAUUGUUAACACGACACGCAUUUAAGACGUACAUAAUAUAUAGUUCCAUAAUUAUUUCUUUUAAAAUUUCCUUUUUCUGAUUAAAAAAUUGAACAUUAAAUUUUUCAGAAAAAAAAGAGUUAAAAUAAUGAAUGAAACUAUACUAUAUAGGAGUCUUAAAAUAUAUCUCUCAAAAAUGUUAACAAUCCAAAGAGAUCGGAGAGUGUAAUGUAUACAUGUUCAUUUAUCUAAUUGCAUCAAUUUGUUUCUAAGAAAAUGUGGAUGUAUUCAGGUAUAAUGCUGUAGGUUCUGAUCAGAUGAAUGGAACUAAUGGCCAAAAUGUGAACGGACUAGUUCCAGAUUGGAUGCUUUAAAUAUCAAGUGUGAUCUUCUGUGUGAUCUGAGAUUCUAUAUAUAUAUAUUUGAUAAGCAACCAAACUGGCAUGCACCAUUUUGUACCAUGCUAUAUAUUGUAAUUAGGUAUGUUUUGUGAUAGCAAAAAGAUUAAACAAGAGGCAGCAAUGACUGGCUUAUGUAGCAUGGGCUUAUGAGAGAAGUCACCAGAUUGCUCGGUUCUUUGCUAAAUACCUUCAUAUAACAAUUGCAUGCAUAAGAUUUGACUUAAUCUAUCACAUAUAUCUAAAUUCGAGCAUCUGUAAUUGUGUUACGAUACUAUUUUUAUUUUAGUCGGCUCUCUGAGUAGCAUGCGUCCCUUGGUAGAGCGUUAGAAUGGAUCAUAUAUAUCUAAAUUCUGAGCAUCUGUAAUUGUAUUUCUAUAUAUUAUUUUUCAAAUUUCUUUUCUUUUUUCUUUCGACAAAAUCAAAAUUUUCUUUCUUAAAUUAAUGUUUUGUAUCUAUAUAUUUAUUAAGAAAAAGAAAUUUUAAAAAAUAAUGUACACAAAUAUAUUUUUUACACCUCAAAAUACGUGUAAAAGUCAAAAGCAUCGGAACGGAUUUAGUGAUUAAAUAUUUACCUCCGAUUUUUUACGCAUUGUUUUCAACAUUUUUUAAAUUUAAUAUUAUAAUAAUAAUAAGAACACAAAUAGAAAUUAUCGUUGCUAUUCUCUUUUAAUAUAGAUCCUCAUUUUUCAGAAAAUAAAUUAAUUAUUAUAUAUUUAACAAAUCUAGCUAGACGAAUUACAACAUUAACUAGUUAACCAUUUAAACCCAUUAUAAAAAGUUUUCAUUCUAUUUUCACUCAAAGUCAUUAUUUCGUAUGAAUCGUUAUUUGGAUAGCGAGAUAUAUUGGUAUCUUGAUUUAAGUAUUAAAAUUAUAGAAGGAAAGUUCUAAUGGGUGGCUCCGCGAUUUUUUAUGGAGACCGCUAUUUUUCGGAGACCACAUAUGUUCUGCAAUCAAAACAUAUUUUGUAAAAUAUGUUCUACAAAUAUCAUUUAUUCAUUAAAUUUGUUGAAUAUCAUCUAUGUUUAGUAGGUAGAUAAUGUAUAUUCUGCAAACUAAACAUAUUUCAUAGAACAAAACAUUUUGUAAUGUUCCACAUACAAAACUCAUAUGAUAUUUAAGAUUUUAAAUGAAAUAAUGAUUCGUAAAACAUGAUUUGCAAAACUAUACGUAUUGCAAUGUUUUUAUGAAAUAUUUUACUUGCAGAACAUAGGUGGUCUUCGGAUCUCCAAAUAAAAUGUGGUCUCCAUUGAACUUAAAAUUAUAGUGGUUAAGUGUACAUAUAUUGGAAAAUCUGAAAAUGCAAGGAGAGCCUAUGAACAAAUCAUAAUCCAUCUGUAUUCAACUCCUUGAACACUAGCCUUUGCCCGUAAUUUAAUGUGUAUAAAAAAAUAUACUUCUGAUUAUUAUAUUUUGAAAAUUAAUCCCUACGAAAAAAAUCAAAAAAAUAUUAAGCAAAAAUAUUUUUUUAUGCACUUUAAAUUACGUGCAAAAAAUCAAAGGAUAUGUAUAAUGAGACGGCGAGAGUAGGUAUUAAAAAGAAUUUUAGACCAUACAGACUGUCAAAAAACCAAAAGAUGCAUCAGACCCAGUUUCUACCAGCAAAAGUAAAGGGAUAAGCAAACCAGUGUAACCAAAGCAAUCAUAUAUUAGAACCAACUGUAGUAUUCAGCCAAUCUUACAUGUGAUGUUGAGUAAACAGUAUCAGUUCCUCCAGGCUGAGAGAUCAAUUAGACCAUACAUCUGUACAUAUUUACAAAUGGCAAAAAACCGCAUAACAUACGAGUCGCUGGCCCUUAUGUUAUUUCAGCCUACAUUCUCUCGACUGUUGCAGUGAUAAGUUUAAAACUUGGACAAGAAACUCCAAGACGGCAUGAGUGAGAAUUUACCUUUUCCUUGCACAUUUUUGGUAAGCAACCUCUGUAAAUACUAAGUAUACUCUCUGCUGUCAUAUUAUUUCACUCCUUGAGUUGAAUUUCUUCCCUGUAAGGUGAAUCGGGAAAGCAGUCCACUCAGGAGAAUCACUACUCUGAUGGAGAGUAUAAAAGGAACUCUCAACUUGCUUUAUAUGAUAUAUAUAACUGUUACAACCAGUAUUUACAAACACUUCACAAAUUUUGUAUCCGGAUUCUUUACCAUGACCAGUUUGAUUUUUGUGUAUCUCCGUCCAUGACGUGCACCUCUAGAGCAUCAAGUCGUUUCAUCGAACUCCAUCAUCUACAGAAGACAAUCAGAGACAAUUAUGUUUAGAAGCUAAUGAUGAUUAAUAUAAUUGUUUGCAAGGAUGCGGUAUUGGCAUACAAUGCUUGUGCGUGCACAUAUCUUAAUUGUCUGUCAAUAACUAAAACUAAUUAAUAGACCUAUAUAUUUAAUUAAAUUCUAUGUCCCAUGAUGGUACAUUUACAAGGCAGCAUCAUCCAGGUCGAUCUUAAGCUCCUGCAAGUUUCAUUUAUUCUGGAAUAUGUUUUCAGUUUGAGUGUCAUCAAGAGGUCUGUGAGCAGUUUCAAAACGUAAUUUUCCAGCUCUGGCAGGCAAUGUUCAAAAUAUAAUUUUGCAGCUCUGGCAUUAAAUAGGUGAAAUCUUGCAUACUGCUGCUAUUUAUCUGCAUGCUUCCUAAGAUAACCUUCAGUUUUCCAACAGUUGAAUUGCAAGUAGAAUCUAACCGACCCUUAUACUGUCACUUUAAGUAAAUGAAUAUAUGAAUAGGGAGAAUAAAUGCAUCACCCCUAGAAAGACAGAUACAAACAAUAUGCAAGAUAUGUCAGGAUAUCGGUGGCCUAAGAAAAAAUUAAACAAACUAUAUAUGCAAUAAAAAGAUGUAACAUGCAAAUUAUUCAACAAUCACUUAAAGUUUAUAUAGCCUAACAGAUGAAGUAAUACCGCGCCACAAACAGGACAGCUAUCACUUCUCUCCAUCCAUUCAUAUAUGCAACCAAGGUGAUAAUGGUGAGAGCACUUAGUAAUUAUCUUCGGAUUUUCAAUAGAGUAUUCUGCAAACAAACAAACAAAAAAAAAGAUUAAAAGAAUACAACAUUCAUUAAAUUGCCAUUCUAAAGUGCUGGAACAGAUCAACUAUAAUGCACAGAAUGUUAUUGGACUCGAAUGAAUACAAGAAGCAUCAAAAUAAUUGCUUAAAAUCGCUGGAUAACUUGCUUAAAAGUUAAAUCGCUGCAUGUACAACUUUUCAUUAAUCCUAUUACUUUCUACUUAAAACAGUAAUAAGGGCAUGAAUACUUUUGACUUUCUCAAAAGCGACAACGAAGUUGCAAAUUUUAUAGACAACUAGCGUAUCAGUAUCUGUAUACACUUAGAAAUCAACUACAUCAACUAAAUACUUCUCGAACUUGAAUUAAUCUUUACUGCUAGCCCUUAAUUAUCAUGAACGAAAGAAGUUUAAUUGUGACAAUCUAGCAAUAUUCCAAUGUUCAAGUUUCAAACUUUCAACACAAUAAAGUAACAUUCAAAUAAACAUUAAAGCUUUCACUUUACAACCCUUGAUUGAGAAUUUUAAUAUAGAAAAAUGACAACUUAUGACUGUAGCAGUAAGGAGUACAGCUUAUGUUGUAUAUAAAGAAUUUUAAUAGACUUAGUGGCAUAUGUACAAUCAAUAUGGACAUUUGGAGUGCUUGCCCAGAACAGAUUGAUACAGUAUAAAAAGGUACGAACUAUCUAAAUAUAUGACAUAGAAUAAGAUCAGAUAAAAUAUAUAAGAAGUGCAGCAUACCACUAAUAACGAAAAAAUGUGUUCAAAAUUUUAGCUAUCCGUAUUGGUCCCAAAAUUCUAUAAGAGAUAGUGUAAACUGCAAUCACAAAGAUGCUUACAUAUCCUAUUUGACAUAAAAUUUGCAUUUUGCAAUAUACCUUCAAGACAAGUUGGGCAAACAUCUUCAUCUUCUGAAGAAGUGUAGAUAUGUGCAACUCCAGACAUUCUUCCCAUUGAUAACCUCACGGCAGACUUGGAAUCAUAUUCUUUUGAUUCCUCCUCACUUGUUGACUCGUUCCAUUUGUUAGCAGCAACCAAAGGUUCUGAAUCUGCAUCACUGUCACUUAUUCUAAGUGGAUUACAUUCCUCCUGUGAGUGACUUGUGCCUUUCUCCCUUCUUGAGACCAGUCCAUCUUGCUGCAAGCGGAAGUACCUAGUGUCCGCAUCAUAAGGCAAUGGCCUAGGAGGAGACCGGUACAUGUCAGAUAAAGAAUUUUCAGAUGUUGUCGAACUGAAAGAGCCUGUUCCCUGAGUGACUGAAGAAUUUGUUUGUUCCUCCCCUCUCUGAAAUAUAGACACAUACUACACAAUAGAAAGAAAAAUAACCCAAUUUCUUAAGAAGAAAACUACUAUCAGAAGUUUUUACUACAAUGUACAAUAAGUAAAGCCUAGUAAGUUUAUUUCUCCCAGUAUGGCAUACAUAUUACACGAAUCAGUAGAAACCGAUAAUUCAAUACUGCGUUGUUUACAAAAAAAAGAAAGUAUGCUCACCAACGAACUAAAAUUGAUACAAGCUUCAUUUAUUAAUUAUAGAUAAUGGACUGAAGACAAGAAUAGUUCCACAUUAAGGAGCCCCAGGCCCUAUAAGAUUGGAAGUGAUGGCUGAAUACCUACACUGUUGAAGGGAGGAGAGAGGGAGGGGGAAUAUCUUGCUUUGCUUAAAAUCUGUAACUAUCUUUACUAACUGGUAUAGCAGAGGAGUUUUAAAAAGGCUGUAAAGAAUAAUAAAUUACUAGAAGCAGUAUUUAUGCAAUCAUUAGAUUUUUUGAAAACCAUUGUGAUUUGCAACUAAGAUAUAUCUUCCUCUAACUCUGAGAACGGCAUAACCCUCCACAAUGUAUGUUCCUAAAGAAGGCUAAAUAUAUAAGUUUGCUUAUACAAUUCACUCCCGCUUAGGCUAUAAAAACAACUUGGCAGGUUUAACAAUAUCUAAUUAUAUUACGUUCAAUUAGUGCAAAAACAUUUCCGACUACAAUCCGAAAAUUUGAAAUUGCAGUGUUAGUUAUGCAUAAGUUUCGUGUAUGACUUGGCAAAUAUAAAAUAUUUGUGUAUCGGAAAGUCGAAACCAUUUGUUUCUUUAUUUACCACAAAAAACAAAACAAAAAAACAAUACUCAUAGAGUCGUGUGGUACUACAAUUCACAUGAGAUUGCACAGAGUAAUGAACAAAUCUAGUUUCAUUAAGUUCUUAGCUGGGACAAAGUAAGGAGGGUGUUAAUGUGUAGCAAUAAGCAAAAAUAAAGAGCUAUAAAUUUAAAACAUACCAUGUGGAUGCAACCCUGCACAAAGAAACGAAGACAUAAGCAGUUCCUAUAAACUGAACUGUUUAUAUCAGCAUAAUCUUCACACUCAUCCCGUAGACAGCAACAAACAGCGCCCAUGGUGUUAAUUCUAUCAGUUUUGUAUAUUAUUUGGGAUUUAAAUUGUGUCUGUAACUAACCAAGAAAUCCAAAAUGCUGGAGCACUGUAUCUUGAGAAAGUAUGAUUGCAGAAUGUCGAACUUAAUUAUUGUAAAAACGAGAGAGGACUCUGGGCUCGCAGGGCUUAUAGUGGCUCCACAAGCCAGCAGUCUCUCCUCUCUCUCUAACAAACUUAAGCCCAGACCCAAAUUUAAGAUUUACCUGAAAAGCAUAAUGAAUUUAUGCAUUAAAAGCAUGAAUGAUAAAUGGUCAACUGCUGAUCUUGCAAACAUAUUGCCCAAAACUACCAUUGACUCAUUCUUUUUUAUCAAACUAUUAAAACACACACCUUUGUCGGCCAAAACUACGUAAGAAUCUAAGACAAAAUCACACAACACUAUGUGCAAAUCAUGAUCAACUUAGCAUAAUAUAAACAGCAUAUCCAAAAAUUAAUCAAAUUUGAACGACCAAGAUAGUAGAUUACAUAAAAAGAUAGAAUUUUUCUUCACAUUUCCUCUUGAAUCAGAUAAAGAAGUGUUGAGUACAAGUGAUUUCAACAGUAUAAACAACCCAAUAAAAGCUUCUUAUUCAAUAUAAAACAUACACAGGAAAGAACCAAGAAACCCCAUUCAAGAUAAUCUAUAUAAACAAUUAAAAAUUGACCCGAAUUUCAAAAGCACAUAUAUAUUCUAAUUCUACCGACAAUACACAAUUCCACAAUAAAACAAGAAAGCCCAUGUCAGAUUAAAACAGUGAUCAGAAGCUUCUAAACAAUAGUAAGACAGAUUAUAAGAACAUGGUAUAUACGCACAGACAAAUAUCAAAUAUAUAUAGACGCGUAUAGCAUUUGAGAAGAGAACAAAAGUACCUUCAGAGCUGAAGGGAGAGAGAGAAGAGAGAAAAUUUGAAGAGGGGUUGUGUUGAAAUUGCAAGAAAAGGAGAAGCUCCAGAAUCUCUCUCGGAGUCUCGGGUGGGUGUUGGAUAUCUCGGCGAGAAAAGCUAAUGAAAACGCGCAAAUAAAGCAGGUGUGAGUGUGUGAUUAGUCUAUUUGGUUUGGUGGUGGGUGAAAAAGAAUUAUCAAAUACUCCCUUAUUAAUUACUACCUUAAUAAUGGCUUAAUUCCAUCAUUAACGUUUCAUUAAAAUAGUUCUUUUUAGAAAACCUUUUAUUAACUCUUUUAGACUUUGUGGAGUUGUUGAAUGUAGCAAAAUUGUCUGAGGACUUGGGGCACAUCACUCAGGUUUUUAAUAUUAAGUGCUUGUUUGGUAUUAUCGGGAAGUAAUUUCCUAUAUUAACAUGGUUUCUUUAAUAUUUGACGCUUUGAUUUUGGGUUCGUUUUUUUUUACAAAUUUUAUGCACGUAUUUUUAAGUGAUUUGAAUGAGUAAUUAAAAGUAUUAUUUUUUAAUUUUUUUAAUAAAAAUAUAUAUUCAAAAUUUUAGUUCACAAAAAAUAUUCAAUUAAAAAUAAUAUUUUUUACUAUCCGAUCAACUCAAAUAAAGAUGUGUGUCAAUCAAAACGUCAAAUAAAAAAAACUGAAAGAGUAUUUCUUAUUUUCUUUUAAUAUCAUGGAAGUAAUACAAAACUUGGUUGACAUUAUAUUUCCCGCAUAUUGUUUGUUUAACUUUUUACUUUCGAGAUAAUAUAUCUUAAUAAUUGUGAUAUCCGUUUAGUACCUUGUACUUCUUGUUUUCACUUGAUAUUAGGGAAGUUGCGCAAAACUUGGUUGACAUGUAUAUUCUCGCGUAUUGUUUAUUUGUAUUUUUAACUUCCUAGAUAAUAGUAUAUUUUAAUAGUUAUAAUGUCUAUUAUUAUCAUUAAAUGACAAAUAUUAUUAUUUGAUAAAAACAAUAAUCCUACAUAAUUUAUACAUCAUUCAUAAGCAAACCUCUCCUGAUUAUUCAGUGUCCAAAACCCAUUCGUUCAUCAGCACUGCUGCAAUUUGUUUAUAUAUGCAGUGGCGGAUGACUAUGAAGUUAAGGGGGGUCAAUUUUUUUGUAAAAAAAUUAAAAGGGGUCACAAAAAAAUUAAGGGGGAUCAAUUUCAAUUUUACAACCUAAAAAUAUGUAUAAUAUUAACAAACAAAAAAUUUAAGGGGGGUCAGUUGCCCCCUCUUACCCCUUCUAAGAUCCGCCUCUGUAUACAUGUAGCAGUGCACUAUUUGUGUGUGCACGUUCAUCGUUAAAGACCCGAUCAAAAUCCCACCGUUAUCAUUUGAGAUGUGAUUUCAAUUAGGUUUUUCUUAAUCAAAACAUCAUAUAUUGAGUUUUAUAUCGUACAUACAUUAAUUUUAAAAAUGGGACAGCAUCAUUUCAAUUUUCAGCUAAUUCAUAUUCAAAAUGCUCUUUAUGUUUUGUUAAAAGUUUUAUAUCGAUGUUUGCUCGUAAACAUGCUUCUAUUUCCUCUAAUGAGACGAAUCUAGUUGAUUCUUUUAUGUGAGAGCCAUUUUCACGUAAUCCAAUCUAGCAUGCCACGAAACAACAGACAUGAUAUUAAUAUCUUAUGCAAAAAAUAAUUCAAUCUCAACUUGUGAUUUUUAAAAGAGCCCUACCAUUUUAAUAUACUGAGUACCCUUUCUCAAAACGUCAAGUCUAGAUGAUUAAGGAAUAGAUAAAUGAAUUAUCGCUCUACCGGCAAAAAAGAAUCCAAAUGAGCCAGGUUUUGGACAUAAUUUAAAAAGAAAUUGUGAUGGGUCAAACUAGUAGCGGACUACAGUACUUGCUAAUUUAGAACAUCUCCAAUAAACUCUUUAUUUGAGCUCUUAAAUUGAAAAAUAAAAAAUCAUCCCAAAUUUUGAACUCCAAGAGACUCCUAGAUGCUCUUUAAAAACUUAAGAGUCUCUUCUAUCUCCUCAAUUGUAGGAGCCACUAGAUAGCUCUUAACUAAUACUCCCUCCAUUCCAAAAUAAUAGUCACUUUGACUUUGUGCACGUAUUUUGAGGUGCAAAAAAAACAUAUCUCUACAUGUUAUUUUUGAAAUUUUCUUUUUCUGAAUAAAAAUAGAGAUGUUAAACUUUUAUUCAGAAAAAGAAAAUUUCAAAAAGAAUGUGUAGAAGUAUGUUUUUUUUACACCUCAAAAUACGUGCACAAAGUCAAAGCGACUAUUAUUUUGGAAUGGAGGGAGUAUUUUAUUAUAAGUUUGUUCUACUUACUCUCUUUCUUUCCACUUAAUAAGCUCUUUAUUUGAGCUCUUAAAUUGAAAAAUAAAGAGUCAUCCCAAAUUUUGAGCUGCAAGAGACUCUUAGAGGCUCUUUAAAAACUUAAGAGUCUCUUCUCUCUCCUCAAUUGUAGGAGCCACUAGAUAGCUCUUAACUAAUAUUUUAUUAUAAGUUUGUUCUACUUACUCUCUUUCUUUCCACUUUCUUUUGUCUUUUUAUGAGUUCAAUGUACUUUUAAUAAUAUAAAAAUAAAUAAAAAGUGGAUAUAAAGAACAUUGUGGGUGUUUGGCGGGGCUUUUAAGCCCCGCUUCUAGACUUUUAAGUUAGAAGCACUUAUUCGUACCGUUUGUGUAAAAAGUCGAGAAGCACUUGUAAAAAGCUACGAUUCCUAGCUUUUGUUUCAUGACUUCUACUUUUUUCCCAAACACUUUAAUCACUUAUAAAUCUUAACUAACUUCUACUUAACUUUUUUAUUUUAAGCAAGAAGCACUUAUUUUAAGCUCACCCAAACGGGUCCAUUGUUGGAGUACAUGUAUACGAAAUUGCUAAGAGCUAAUAAAUUAUAUUAUAUUUAAAAGUAAUUUUAAGAGUCUAUUGGAGAUGCUCUCUUAGAAAAGUUCGCGAAAUGUUCGGUGAGUCAACGUCAUCACGGACUCAUGGUUUAUGAAGCUAAAUGGUAAACUGAUAUGUCAAUGAAAACUUAGUCUCGGUGACCAUAUAAUUGUGUAUAAUAUAUAUUACUGUAGGAUCUUUCGGUGACUAUAUAAUUGUUUAUGGUGUAUAUAUUGACAUAAGAUCUGAUAUAUCUCGUUUCAAAAAAAUCUGAUAUAUCUGAAAAUUUUAUUCAUUCCUCGGUGAAAAUCAAGUUAAUCCUUUGCUCAUUGCAAUACAGCUCAAAUAAAAUCAAGACAAUUAUAUAUCAGGUUGUUAGAUUUAUUGUUAUUUAUGCUACCAUAUACUCUCUCGGGGAGUCCGUCCCUGAGUUGUAUAUGCAGACGGCUCGACAUGUAUUUUAAUACUCUAACUUAUUUUGGAAUUUUUUUUUUUGAACAAAAAGUUAAAUAUUAAAUUCAUAGUCAGAAAAAAAAAAUCUUAAAUCCAAUAUUGCUGGUGGGAAUUUUAAUUUGAGCCGAAAUCGACAGGAAAGCACACAACUGAAAUCCGAUAUUGCUGGUGGGAAUUUCUCUUGAAACCUGUGGCCACUACAACUCUAUAAGCUUCUCGUGAACCAAAAAGGGGCCCAAAGUGUGCCUCUCAAUACAAAUUCAUUCAACUUCUUGUUUGUUUUUAUACGGGAUAGUUCACAUUAUGUAGUUAGCCUUUGCAUGAUUGACAUUACCAUGAAAAGGAUGUGGAGGAUCAGUGAGCACCCAGUUCUCUAUCUCUUUAUGCUCUUCAACUUAGAUAACCCUUCACUACAAACUUUAUAUAUACUUCAUUCUACAUGCACUAAACAAACUGCUUCAUAGUCAUGAGAGUUCUUACAAUGUCUUGGCUUCUGGCUCUGACACUCUUUUGUUUAGCAUGUACAACAAACGCAGGAGCUCCUAGGAAAACUCAGCAUCCAUCUGCAACUAUUGUUGGCACUGUCUACUGUGACUCUUGCUCACAAAAUCACUUCUCCAACACUAAUCACUUCAUCUCAGGUUUAUUAACUUCUAACAUCUUUUUAUCUCAAGUAAACAUAACCUUAGCAAGUAUCUAACUCUUUUGGCUUUUCAGGGGCACUGGUUGCUGUAGAAUGUGAUGGCACAGACUCGAGCCCGAAAAUCCGAAAAGAGGUGAAAACAAACAAGCACGGGAAAUUUAGAGUAAAUUUACCAUCCCGGGUGGCCAAACAUGUCAAGAACAUCAAGAAAUGCUCCGUGAACUUGGUUCGGAGCAAUGAUGCCAACUGCGCGGUGGCAUCGACAGCAACAGCUUCUUCAAUUCAUCUCAAAUCAAUUAAAGCCAGAACCCACAUUUUCUCAGCUGGUUUUUUAGCUUUCAAACCCCUGACGCAGCCAAGCAUAUGCAAUCAAAAACCACAAAUUUCAAAUAGGCCACCUACGAAGCCACCAAAACGAGCAGCUCAUAAAAAAACCAGAAAGGGCCUGGUAAACCAAAAAAUGUUUUCUUUAUUUCCACCUCUGAUUCCAAACCCCUUUCAGCCACCACCAGCAAUACUUCCUCCCAUCAUCCCUUCGCCACCGCCUUCAAUAUUUCCUCCUUUCUUCCCAUCACCUCCGCCUUCAAUAUUUCCUCCUGUUUUUCCGACCCCUCCACAGCCACCACCUUCAAUAUUUCCUCCAUUUUUCCCUGCACCACCAGUAGCACCUCCUCCAUCAAUAUUUCCUCCACUCUUCCCUCCAAUACCGGGAUUUAGUCCUCCGGUGGUGAUGCCACCACCGCCACCGCCACCAGUCUUCCCAUUUCUUCCACCAGGAUUCCCCGGAGUGCCGCCAGUGGCAAGGUCAAGUCAUUCAGAAGAGACAAAACAUCCUUAAUUAAAUGAAAGUCACAUGCAUCUUACUUGUACAUUAUAGUAAUAAGUAUCGGCUUGUCUGUUUAAAAGUUUGUGGUCAUUUGAAUUUUGAACAAUGUCAUUGUUGCAUUUCGCAGCAUUAUAUGUUGGUUAUGUUGGAAAAAUAUGAAGUUCCUGGCUUUAAGCAAACAUAUCAAUACUAUAUGACCUUGUUAGUUCACAAAUUUUGUAAUGGAAAAUGUUUGAUGCAUAAAAUUGGGUACUGAAUUUUUCAUAAGAUGACAUGUGCCAAGUUUUGAUUGAAACGAGUUCUUGUAUAUGCAUUAAUAAUGCCAAUGAUAAUACCACCUCACUUCUCAGGUUAUUUUAUGUAAAAUUUUGUAUUCAAUUUUGUGCAUGUAAAACUGCUCAUUUGUAAUAUCAAAUGUUUUGUCAGUGUGUACGAUGCACUUGACCAGUUGACAGUGCUGCACACAAGGUUGGCUUAGACUCCAUGACAAAACAUAAGCUGUCAGUGAGAUUGAUUUUGGGUCUUAAUUUCCAUAGACUUGAUGGCCAAAUCCCAGUUCAUGCAUACUGACGCCCAUAGUGAUAAUUUGUCAUCUCCGAGUCUGAGCUCUGAAUCUAGUAUUUCAAGGUAUUAGUAAGAAGAGGAUUUAAUCGAAACAUAUAUUAUCUCAACACUUUCACUCACGAUGACAUGCAAAAUCACAUUUGUGUGUACCAAAAAGUAAAUGUAUCAUGUAAUGAGCUACAUAUCCACAAAAUAGUAAAAAUCUGGUAUUCACAUAGUUUAACUACCAUUCUCUGGUAUUUAUUUGGAAUUUCUAUGAAUCUUGUGGGCAGUACAACUCUAUAAGCUUCUCGUGAACCAAACGGGUCCAGUUUGUGUUUCUCUGGACAAAUCCAAUCGCUUUCCUCUUUGGUUUUUAUGGAACUGACAAGCUUUACAUUCACAUUAUGUAGCAACUUUGCCGUUGGACUAGUAGUGCCUUUGCAUGAUUUACAUUAUUGAUCACCCAACUUCCCUAUCUCUGUGUGCUACCCUUCUCUGCAGAUUUUAUAUAUACUUCACAUUUGGUAUGCAUCAAACCACAUAGUCAUCAGAGUUUUUACAAUGUCUUGGCUUUUGGCUCUGGUACUUUUUUGUUUAGCUCUUCAUUCGAAUGCUAAAGCUAUUACGAAAACACAGCUUCGUUCUGCAACUGUUGUUGGCACCGUCUAUUGUCACACUUGCCUACAAAAUGAUUUCUCCGCGUUGAACCACUUCAUUUCAGGUUUAUAUCUCUAAUUUUUAAUAUCAAUUUCUUUAACAUCUGAAUAUCCGAUAUGCAUCUAAUUGCAUUUGUGUUUUAGGGGCAUUGGUGGCGGUAGAAUGUGAUGGUACCAAACCAAGCUCAAGAUUCCGGAAAGAAGUGAAAACCAACAAGCAUGGACAAUUCAAAGUAAAUUUACCAUUCCCAGUUACCAAACAUGUCAAGAACAUCAAGAAAUGCUCUGUGAACUUGGUCAGGAGCAAUAAUGCCAACUGUGCAGUGGCAUCGACAGCAACAACAUCUUCAUUUCAUCUCAAAUCAAUAAAAGCAAGAACCCACAUUUUCUCAGCUGGUUUUCUCACAUUCAAACCCCUGACACAACCAAACAUCUGUAACCAAAAACCAAAAAUUAACAGAAACUCGAAGGAUUCUGUUGAUAAUGAUCCUUCAACAUUUCCUCCUCCACUUCGCGAUCCCCCUGAUUCGUCAAUUAUACCUCCCAUAGACAAUCCAGGCCAAUUUACGCCGCUUCCAAUACUCCCAAGGCUCCCUCCUCUACCAGAAUUGCCAAACCUUCCACCUAUACUCCCACCAAAACAAGCAACUCUUAGUAAAACCAGCAGUGACUUGAUAAACGAAAAACCAUUUUUUCUUUUUCCACCUAUAUUUCCAAACCCCUUUGCGCCACCUUUAGUUCCAAACCCUUUGCAGCCACCACCAGCAAUAGUUCCUCCAGUGAUCCCUUCACCACCGCCUUCAGUGCUUCCUCCUGUUCUUCCAACGCCACCACAACCACCGCCUUCAAUAUUCCCUCCAGUAAUUCCUUCACCUCCAACCGGUUUCCCACCUGUACCAGGAUUGAGUCCUCCAGUUGUACCACCUCCGCCACCGCCAAUCAUCCCAAUUCUUCCACCAGGAUUCCCUGGAGUACCUCCUGCAAGAACUUCAACUUCAAGUCAUUCAAAAGAGUCAAAACACCCUUGACUAAGAAAGUCACAUGUUCCAAGUACAUUAUGCAGGAAAAUAAGU